rnacentral:rRNA from 1 species
ACGGAAGGCAGCAGUGGGGAAUAUUGCACAAUGGGCGCAAGCCUGAUGCAGCGAUGCCGCGUGAGGGAAGAAGGUUUUCGGAUUGUAAACCUCUGUCAACAGGGACGAAAAUGUCGGUACCUGUGAAGGAAGCUCCGGCUAACUACGUGCCAGCAGCCGCGGUAAUACGUAGGGAGCGAGCGUUGUCCGGAAUUACUGGGUGUAAAGGGAGCGUAGGCGGGACUGCAAGUCAGAUGUGAAAUGCCGGGGCUUAACCCCGGAGCUGCAUUUGAAACUGUGGUUCUUGAGUGAAGUAGAGGCAAGCGGAAUUCCUGGUGUAGCGGUGAAAUGCGUAGAUAUCAGGAGGAACACCGGUGGCGAAGGCGGCUUGCUGGGCUUUUACUGACGCUGAGGCUCGAAAGCGUGGGUAGCAAACAGGAUUAGAUACCCUGGUA